rfam:Camelus ferus unplaced genomic scaffold scaffold762, whole genome shotgun sequence.
GAGGGUAUAGCUCAGUAGUAAAAUGCAUGCCUAGCAUGCACAAGGUCCUGGGUUCAAUUCCCAGUACCUCUG